rnacentral:sRNA from 1 species
CGUCUGGGAAGAAAAGCUUCGUGGUUGC